rnacentral:rRNA from 1 species
UACGUAGGGUGCAAGCGUUGUCCGGAAUUAUUGGGCGUAAAGAGCUCGUAGGCGGUCUGUCGCGUCUGCUGUGAAAACUCGGGGCUUAACCCCGGGCCUGCAGUGGGUACGGGCAGACUAGAGUGCGGUAGGGGAGACUGGAAUUCCUGGUGUAGCGGUGAAAUGCGCAGAUAUCAGGAGGAACACCGGUGGCGAAGGCGGUUCUCUGGGCAUUACCUGACGCUGAGGAGCGAAAGUGUGGGGAGCGAACCGG